GUGGGGAGGCAUCUCCACUUCAGGGAGACAUGGCACGUGCACGAAGGGACUGGAACACAAUGAGUGGGGGCCGCUGGCUAAAAUAGCAUGUUAUAAAUUUGCAGAUUUGCCGGGCGUGGUGGUGCAUGCUUGUGAUCCCAGCACUGGGAAGGCUGUGGCAGGAGGAUCGCUGUGAGUUCGAGGCCAGCCUAGGCUACAUCGUGAGUUCAGGGCCAGCCUGAACUACAAAGGGAGACCCUGCCUCAAAAAAACCCCCACAAAUUUGCAGAUUUGAUUUUUUUAAAUAAUAUUUCGGUUUUUGCAUAGAUCUCCUUUCUAAACUGAGUAAAUGCAUCAUGCAUUUCUUUUUUCUUUUCCCUUUACAGCACUGUACUUAUUUGGGCAGUUAUAAAGCAUCUAUAUAUAUUUUAAUCAAAAACGAAGUAUUUUGGAAGGUGAAUUCUUAGAGCUUCCGUGUGGCUAAGCUGGGUAACAGAGAUAAGCUUCGGACUCUGCUGAGCUCACUGUUUUAUCUGGAUGAAAAGCCGCGGCCUGCACUUGUCCACUCCAGAGCUGGGCUGAGUCCUCCAGCAGCCCCGGCCGGCCUAGACCUCUCCCGUUUUCCUGCCGCCGCGCCUUUCUUUCCCCUCGGUUCCGAGUCGGGGCGGGCGCGGGGCCUGUGCAGGGGUCCCGGAAGGGAAGAAGGCAGUGCGGGUUCACGUAACGGUCCCGAGAGGGCUAAAGGAAGGGCCGGCGCCGCCGCCGAAGCUCACAGACCGGAAGAAGGGCGCUUAACGUCCCAAGCGCUCCGGUCGGCUUUGGGGCCCCUCGCUGCUGGGGGACCCGGCCCCACACCCCGCCGGCGGCUCUCCGGGACGCUGUUCUGGGGUCGCCUCCCCCCGGCAGCUCCUAGGGAGGCUCGGCGCCUUCCCAGUCCCGCGUGGGCUCCGGGCCGGGCACCAGGGCGCAGGGCUUCCCCUCCGAGGCCCGCAGGUCAGGGUCUACCGCACCGCCCGGCCCAGGAAAGGGAGCCGGGGCGGUGGCCGAGUGCGUCUCCCCGCCCCGUGACGCAGGC
rnacentral:lncRNA from 1 species